rnacentral:rRNA from 1 species
ACCUGACUGCUAUCGGAUUGAUACUAAGCCAUGCGAGUCAUUGUAGCAAUACAAGGCAUACGGCUCAGUAACGCGUAGUCAACCUAACCUAUGGACGGGAAUAACCUCGGGAAACUGAGAAUAAUGCCCGAUAGAACAUUAUGCCUGGAAUGGUUUAUGUUCCAAAUGAUUUAUCGCCGUAGGAUGGGACUGCGGCCUAUCAGUUUGUUGGUGAGGUAAUGGCCCACCAAGACUAUUACAGGUACGGGCUCUGAGAGGAGUAGCCCGGAGAUGGGUACUGAGACACGGACCCAGGCCCUAUGGGGCGCAGCAGGCGAGAAAACUUUGCAAUGUGCGAAAGCACGACAAGGUUAAUCCGAGUGGUUUCUGCUAAAGAAACCUUUUGUCAGUCCUAGAAACACUGAUGAAUAAGGGGUGGGCAAGUUCUGGUGUCAGCCGCCGCGGUAAAACCAGCACCUCAAGUGGUCAGGAUGAUUAUUGGGCCUAAAGCAUCCGUAGCCGGCUCUGUAAGUUUUCGGUUAAAUCUGUACGCUCAACGUACAGGCUGCCGGGAAUACUGCAGAGCUAGGGAGUGGGAGAGGUAGACGGUACUCGGUAGGAAGGGGUAAAAUCCUUUGAUCUAUUGAUGACCACCUGUGGCGAAGGCGGUCUACCAGAACACGUCCGACGGUGAGGGAUGAAAGCUAGGGGAGCAAACCGGAUUAGAUACCCGGGUAGUCCCAGCUGUAAACUAUGCAAACUCAGUGAUGCAUUGGCUUGUGGCCAAUGCAGUGCUGCAGGGAAGCCGUUAAGUUUGCCGCCCGGGAAGUACGUACGCAAGUAUGAAACUUAAAGGAAUUGGCGGGGGAGCACCACAAGGGGUGAAGCCUGCGGUUCAAUUGGAUUCAACGCCGGG